UACGUAGGGUGCAAGCGUUAAUCGGAAUUACUGGGCGUAAAGCGUGCGCAGGCGGUGAUGUAAGACAGUUGUGAAAUCCCCGGGCUCAACCUGGGAACUGCAUCGUGAUGCUGCAUCGCUGGAGUACGGUAGAGGGGGAUGGAAUUCCGCGUGUAGCAGUGAAAUGCGUAGAUAUGCGGAGGAACACCGAUGGCGAAGGCAAUCCCCUGGACCUUGUACUGACGCUCAUGCACGAAAGCGUGGGGAGCAAACAGG
rnacentral:rRNA from 1 species